AGAGUUUGAUCCUGGCUCAGAAUCAACGCUGGCGGCGUGCCUAAUACAUGCAAGUCGAACGCGAAAGUCCCGCAAGGGAUGAGUAGAGUGGCAAACGGGUGAGUAACGCGUGGGUGACCUGCCUUCGAGUGGGGGAUAACGUCCCGAAAGGGACGCUAAUACCGCAUGACAUCCUGCCUUUGAACAGGCGGAGAUCAAAGCUGGGGAUCGCAAGACCUAGCGCUUGAAGAGGGGCCCGCGUCCGAUUAGCUAGUUGGUGGGGUAACGGCUCACCAAGGCAUCGAUCGGUAGCCGGCCUGAGAGGGCGGACGGCCACACUGGGACUGAGACACGGCCCAGACUCCUACGGGAGGCAGCAGUAGGGAAUUGUUCGCAAUGGGCGCAAGCCUGACGACGCAACGCCGCGUGGAGGAUGAAGACCUUCGGGUCGUAAACUCCUUUCGAUCGAGACGAAUUGCUUUCGGGUGAAUACCCCGGAAGAAU
rnacentral:rRNA from 1 species